AAUUUUUUAUUGCACUUCUUUUCAUUUGUUUUAUUUGAUUAAUUAACAACAUUUUCCAUAUUUAAACAUGGUUGAACAAGAAAAGUAUGUGUUUGGAACAUGGACUUUGGUCUCUAAAUCACUCUAAAAGCUAGCUAACGGGAGGGUUUCAUAUGGAAGGGUUCCACGUGGGAUAUUCAUCACACCCUUUUAACACUAGAGGCAUCAAAAUAUUUAUGGAUGCUCAACAUUGAUAGAGAAUAAGAAAAUGGACUUGGUUUUAACUCAACUCAAAAGUUAGCUUACGAGAGAGAAUAAGUUAGCUUAAGAGAGAGAAUUUGCAUGGGGCCUGUUAUUCACAUGCUUAACUAACACGGAUGCUUAACGUUACGGAUAAUAGUUGUUUAAUCUGAUAAAAUAAUUGGACUGAGGUGUAAUGAAGUAAUUCAAGUCAUUUUUCUUUACAUCCUGUUUUCUCUUUCUUUUUGGCAACCAUUAUAUUGUUCAUGUGGGAUAUUCAUCACACCCUUUUAACACUAGGGGCAUCAAAAUAUUUAUGGAUGCUCAACAUUGAUGGGGAAUAAGAAAAUUGACUUGGUUUUAACUCAACUCAAAAGUUAGCUUACGAGAGAAUAAGUUAGCUUACGAGAGAGAAUAAGUUAGCUUAAGAGAGAGAAUUUUGCAUGGGGCCUGUUAUUCACAUGCUUAACUAACACGGAUGCUUAACGUUACGGAUAAUAGUUGUUUAAUCUGAUAAAAUAAUUGGACUGAGGUGUAAUGAAGUAAUUCAAGUAAUUUUUCUUUACAUCCUGUUUUCUCUUUCUUUUUGGCAACCAUUAUAUUGUUUCAAAUUAUUUUAAUUUUUUAACAAUCUUUUCUGUAUUUUUUUAUAUUGUUUUAAAUUAAUUUUGCUUUUUGAGAAGUUUCAAAUGGUUUGGAAAUGCUUGUUUGCUUUUGUCGGAUGUGCUUCAAUCUAGUAAAAAUGGUUGUCUU
rnacentral:lncRNA from 1 species